rnacentral:ncRNA from 1 species
UAAAAAGUGUUGAGAGGAAGGAAAAUAAUUGUUCUAGAUGACAGAGAGUCGGAUCAGCUGAGAGCCGACAUCUAAGCCAAUUAUUUUUGUAGUCCUUGAACUGUAAAGCUGAAAAGAAGUAAGCUUUACCGGCUGCCCAAAUGGGCCAGGCAUCCGUUAUCAUAUGCUGAGGUAUAAUCAGUUUAAAACUUUUUGUACCAAUGAGGCUGUUUACAGCAAAAAUGGGUGGUACCACGUGAGGGAACUCUCGUCCCUAUU